AUUGAACGCUGGUGGCAUGCCUUACACAUGCAAGUCGAACGGUAACGCGGGGCAACCUGGCGACGAGUGGCGAACGGGUGAGUAAUGUAUCGGAACGUGCCCAGUUGUGGGGGAUAACUGCUCGAAAGAGCAGCUAAUACCGCAUACGACCUGAGGGUGAAAGCGGGGGAUCGCAAGACCUCGCGCAAUUGGAGCGGCCGAUAUCAGAUUAGGUAGUUGGUGGGGUAAAGGCUCACCAAGCCAACGAUCUGUAGCUGGUCUGAGAGGACGACCAGCCACACUGGGACUGAGACACGGCCCAGACGCCUACGGGAGGCAGCAGUGGGGAAUUUUGGACAAUGGACGCAAGUCUGAUCCAGCCAUGCCGCGUGCGGGAAGAAGGCCUUCGGGUUGUAAACCGCUUUUGUCAGGGAAGAAACGCUCUGGGUUAAUACCUCGGGGUAAUGACGGUACCUGAAGAAUAAGCACCGGCUAACUACGUGCCAGCCGCCGCCGUAACAC
rnacentral:rRNA from 1 species